GAGCCCUUAAGAGUAGGGCGCUCACGCGCUUGUCUUUCUCUACGGCCAUCAUGGGGUCGCGUCCCUCAUCUCCUUGGGGCUGGUACCUUCACCGUGGCCUGCUGUUGGCGGUCUGGAGCGAUGCUGAGCCCAGGCCCAGCCUCUCAGCUCCGCCGUGGGCGCUGCACAGAUCUAGGGGUGCCUGACGGGACGUUGACAACGUGGAAUAGGAACAGUAUCCCACCAUGAGGUUGGGUACCUGAAGGUGGAAGAUGGGCCAGCAGCAGUGACCUCCCAUGAGGGUGUCCCUUUCAAGUUAUGAGAACUGCAAGGCCGUGGACUGUGCUGGCAGCAGCCAAAGAGAAAUGUCUCCAGCCAUCCCGGAAGCAAGUAUCCCAAGUGAUAUGUCUGCCAGUUUUGUUCUGGAUGGGCACGUUUGGUAAUCCUGUCUGUACCACAGGAUCUUCAGCACCUUUUAAUAAACUUUGUCUAUAAAACU